GUGGUAGCGAGCCUGCUCGCGAAGGCGUCGUGUCAGUCAGCAAAUGGGUUAACUGACACACGGCUUUCGCGAGCAGGCUCGCUCCCAC
rnacentral:misc_RNA from 1 species